ensembl:lncRNA NR2F2-AS1 NR2F2 antisense RNA 1
UAAAAAUGAGGAACCGCUCCUUGAAUGUUCUGGACAGAGCACAGAAUUGCUUCUUAAGUCAGCCCGGCGCGGUUGCAAUAGACAGCAAAAAGGUAAACGUUUGCCUGAAAUCCGCACGCCAGCUCCACCGCCCCGCCCGAUGGUCCCAGUUCCUCUGGGAAUCGUCCUGUAUGCAACAUCUUCACAAGAGUGGCAGGCAGUUGAAUCUCUGGCCUUCGUGGGACCACUGGACAUCUGGCAGAGAACCAGGAAACCACGGUUCCCUUCUGUGAGUCCCUCAGCCGGAAAACUACAAGGUGUGUGACUGUAGGAUGAGGCUUUUUGAAAGAUGAAGUACGACACUUUGAGAAAGUGUUUGGAAAGAAACUGGCUGAUGUCGAAUGGAAAUCUGAACAUUCACAGAUUUCUUUUCCUAGAUAUAGAAACGCAAAAGCUUACAUGUACACAUUUAAAAAAAAUUAAAUUAUCUUUUCUUUCUUGCC